CACCCUCCAGAUUGGCGUUGUGACUCCAACGACCAAUGUCCCGUCCGUGUGACCGUGUAAAAGCGGUCAGGCUGCCAGGGGGAGUUAGUACGACUAUGCGCGAUAAAGCACGACCUGGACGCGCUCCACUCCCUGA
rnacentral:ncRNA from 1 species